GCCUAGCAGCUAGCUCAAACUUAACAAAACACAACAACCCCUUAUUAAUAAACCCCUAACACCUAUAGACCCCUUUAAACAAAACAUUUUUCCCCCCUAGUAUGGGCGACAGAAAGGGACAUAAUACGAAGCAAUAGUACCAGUACCGCAAGGGAAUGCUGAAAGAAAGAUGAAAAAGAUUAGUAAAGCACAAAAAAGCAGAGAUUAUUUCUCGUACCUUUUGCAUCAUGAUUUAGCAAGAAAAGAUCAAGCAAAAAGACCUGUAGUUUGAUACCCCGAAACCAAGCGAGCUACUCCAGGACAGCCUUAUAGGGCGAACCCAUCUCUGUGGCAAAAGAGUGGGAAGAUCCUUGAGUAGAGGUGACAGACCUACCGAGCUUGGUUAUAGCUGGUUGCUCAGGAAAUGAAUAGCAGUUCAGCCUUUUAUUCUCUUUUCCCUCCAACCGAUUUCGCCGCCCAAGCGACCGAGAGAACUAAAAGAGUUAGUCAAAGGGGGUACAGCCCCUUUGAAAACAGACACAACUUUCCCAGAAGGGUAAAGAUCAAAUAACAGUAGGAACAAUGUUCUAGUUGGCCUAAAAGCAGCCACCCAAAUAGAAAGCGUUAAAGCUCAUACAUAACUAAUAACCUAUUAUCCCGACCAUACAAUCUUACCCCUCUAAUCUAUACUGAGCCUUCCUAUACUUCUAUAGGAGAGACGAUGCUAAUAUGAGUAAUAAGAGGGGAAAGCCCCUCUCCAUGCGCAAGUGUACAUCGGAACGAACCAACACCGACCAUUAACGGCCCCAUUAAAGGAGGGUACUGGAACACAUGACUCUAGCCCACUAGAAAAGCAUCCAUACCAAACCGUUAACCUUACACCAGCGUGCUAACCAGGAAAGACUAACAGAAAGAGAAGGAACUCGGCAAACACCUCUAGCCCCGCCUGUUUACCAAAAACAUCGCCUCUUGCUAACCAAGAAUAAGAGGUCCCGCCUGCCCUGUGACAAUUGUUUAACGGCCGCGGUAUUUUGACCGUGCAAAGGUAGCGCAAUCACUUGUCUUUUAAAUGAAGACCUGUAUGAAUGGCAUAACGAGGGCUAAACUGUCUCCUCUCUCAAGUCAAUGAAAUUGAUCUUCCCGUGCAGAAGCGGGAAUAAAUACAUAAGACGAGAAGACCCUGUGGAGCUUCAGGCAUAAGCAGCCCAUGUUAAAGACCCCAAACCAAAAGGAUAAACUUAGUGGCCCCUGUCUGUAUUUGCCUUUGGUUGGGGCGACCGCGGAGAAAAACAAAUCCCCCGCGUAGAAAAGGGGACAACAUCCCCCUAAAGUACGAGUGACAACUCCAACGAACAGAAGUUCUGGCUAUACUGAUCCGGCAAAGCCGAUCAACGAACCGAGUUACCCUAGGGAUAACAGCGCAAUCCCCUUCUAGAGCCCAUAUCGACAAGGGGGUUUACGACCUCGAUGUUGGAUCAGGACAUCCUAAUGGUGCAGCCGCUAUUAAGGGUUCGUUUGUUCAACGAUUAAAGUCCUACGUGAUCUGAGUUCAGACCGGAGUAAUCCAGGUCGGUUUCUAUCUAUGGUAUGAUUCUUUCUAGUACGAAAGGACCGAAAGGAUGGGGCCCCUGCUUUAAAGCACGCCCCUCUCUCACCUAAUGAUAUCAUCUAAAGUAGAUAAGGGAGCAUGCCUUAUUGUCUAAGAGAAAGACUU
rnacentral:rRNA from 1 species